rnacentral:rRNA from 1 species
AAUAUUGGGCAAUGGAGGCAACUCUGACCCAGCCAUGCCGCGUGCAGGAAGACCGCCCUAUGGGUUGUAAACUGCUUUUUUACAGGAAUAAACGCAGCUACGUGUAGUUGUUUGAAGGUACUGUAAGAAUAAGGACCGGCUAACUCCGUGCCAUCAGCCGCGGUAAUACGGAGGGUCCAAGCGUUAUUCGGAUUCAUUGGGUUUAAAGGGUCCGUAGGCGGUAAACUAAGUCAGUGGUGAAAGGCAGUGGCUCAACCAUUGGAGUGCCAUUGAUACUGGUUUACUUGAGUUUAUUGGAAGUGGGCGGAAUACGUCAUGUAGCGGUGAAAUGCAUAGAUAUGACGUAGAACACCGAUUGCGAAGGCAGCUCACUAUAAUACAACUGACGCUGAGGGACGAAAGCGUGGGGAGCGAACAG